rnacentral:rRNA from 1 species
UACGGAGGGUGCGAGCGUUGUUCGGAAUCACUGGGCGUAAAGGGCGUGUAGGCGGCCCGCUAAGUCUGAUGUGAAAGCCCCGGGCUCAACCUGGGAAUGGCCGUUGAAACUGGCGAACUGGAGUGUGGCAGAGGGGGGUGGAAUUCCGCGUGUAGCAGUGAAAUGCGUAGAGAUGCGGAGGAACACCGAUGGCGAAGGCGGCCCGCUGGGCAGAGACUGACGCUGAGGCGCGACAGCGUGGGGAGCAAACAGG